rnacentral:misc_RNA from 1 species
UUGUGUAAACAUUUUCUGUUAGUGUUACUACCAGGACAAGUGCAAAGGCCUAUUCCGUAUAUAAUAUCUACCUAAAACUUUCAAGGUCAGAUGCUAUUCUCAAUUCAGAGUACGCGUUGUAUUAUCCAUCAAUCCAAUUCUCAUGAAAUAUGAAUUAGAAUCGAUUGUUUUGGUUAUUCUUGUAAUGGUCAAGACCUAAUUAUGUUAAUGUUUACAGCAAGAAUAAUCAUAUUGACACUUAAGUAAUACAUAUGUUCAAUUUAGUAAUGCAUAUCAAUAGCACUUACGUCCUUCCGUCCUGACUGUCGGCAUUCAGUUAGAACCAUGCAUCAUGAUAGCGUGGGUCUUGUACAGCCCACCGUGUCGGUCCUCAGAGUCUGCGGGGUCUGUCCUUCAGCGCUACGAACCGUGUAUAUUCCUCUCAGCACCAGGGUAUACGGAUGUGUCCUAGCCAUCACGUUUCUGUUCUCCUCAUCAGUUAUUCUUUGGACGCAUAUUGGCGCCUAUAAUGAUAUCACUGCUUUCAUAUUUUCAGCUUCCUUGAGCUUUGGUAUGGCUCAGCAGGUGAUUCUGCUCACAUCCUCCUUCUUGACUUGCAGAACGCUGUCGCGAUUCUUCAUGAUCAUGGAGUCUGCCCAGCAGAACCUGUUCGACCUGAACAUCAGACAACCUCCUAAUCCGUCUGUGAGGUCACAGAUCUGUUGGAUGGCUCUGAUGUUCGCCCCGUCUUGCGCGAUGAUAGGGUUGCUCAUCUCGUACGAGAGUAAUGUUUACUACGUAAUUUCUGCUACCUUUGAAGGCCUCGUGACAGUCGGAACCGCUUGUAAGAUGAGAGUACUUUUCCAUCUCUUGAACGAAAAGUUCGGCCUGCUCAACUGGCACUUGGACGACCUGAACAACCGAUGGCCUCUGUUCCUUCCGCGCCCCACUGACGUCAGUUUCAGGGAACUGCCCUCCGUGGCCUUGUGGCGCAGGAAGAAGUUCGUCCUUCUACGUCACGACACGAGAACUGUCACUGCUGAAAAGAUCCGAAACUUCAAUAAGGCUCACUUGAAAUUGUACUACGCUUACAGAACCCUCAACUCGCUGUUCUACUGGUCAGGGUUGAUCAUGUGUGUAAACUCAGGUACCAAUUUGGUAUACAACACGUUCCUACUCUUCUCAUCAUUUAGAUUGAAAGGAUUUAUAAUCAACGUCAUUUUGGUGCUUAGCAUUGCAAACCGCAUCCUUUACUUAGGUGUAAUGUUGACAAUGACAACCAAAAUCGAGGAAAAGGUAUGUACUUUAAAUUCAUUUCAUAAUAGUGUAUGCGUAGGUUCUAGCUCCAAUCGAUUAAUUGCACAAAAAUGUGACAAUAAUUAUUUCCUGUAGUUACAUAUUUAAGUUAAGUAAAUUACAAAUUUGCAAACUUUUCAUGAAUGUAUUUACGGUCUAAAAUGUUCCUGAUGUAAAAUGUGACGUAGUUGAGUUGCAGACUUGAUAAAUUUAUACUAAUUUGUACGAGUGAGUAAAUACAAUUACUGCUUUACAUAUUAAAUCUAACCUGGUAAAUAUUUAGCCAUUUAUAUUACUUUGUUAUGUUUUACAUAACCAUAUAAAAAUCAUUACCUUUUACUUAUAUGUUACUUGUAAACAAAAAGUAUAUAAUUUUUCUAAGCAUGAAUCGUGGUAGCGUAUAUAUUCCAAACUAAUGGAAUAGUAAAAGUGAUAUCAUGUUAUUGAAACAUUCUUAUUGGAACUAGUUGACAAUUUUCUAGGUAAGCAUUUUUCUCACGAAAUAAGUUUAAGGCAUUGUCGAUGUAUUUGUUGAAGCUCUGGUUCGGAUGUAAAUCAAAACUUUACAUACGCAUUUUUUAGGGUAAUCUCCAAAAAUAACUACAAAGUACUAUGUAAUGUGUAAUAAAUUUAAGAAAACUUACAUAAACUUUGAUUUGUUAAAAGUAGUUAUUUAAUAGUUAUUAAAUAGUUAUUUAAAAUAACAAAAUUUAUAGGCAUGACUAACAUUAAUACACUCUAGUAUUAACUCAACACACUCUAGUGUUGAUGUUCUAGACAUCUAAAGAUCUCAAAGUUUUAAUAGAUAAUGAACGAUAUUUAUACAUAUUAUGAACUAAAAACAUUUAAUUUAAGUUCUAUGGAUGAUUAAUAUUGACCAAAAUGCUUUACAGAAUCCAUUCAAAGGUAAGACACCGCAGUGUCUUGUGUUUUUUUGCACCAAGCAGUUUUUUUUAUUAAGCUUUAUGGAACUACAGUACAGUGUAUGGAAUGUGUGAUAAAAGAAAUUUUAAUCUCGUUUUGUCCAAUCAGAGCAAGAGAACCGCGCUGUUGGUCCACGACUUGCUAGACGAAGACGGACAUUCAUCGGAAGUACUACAAGAGCUCGAGACGUUCUCCCUGGCUCUACUGCACCGCAAAGUCAACUUCUCGGCCGCAGGCUUCUUCGACAUGAACCUCAAG